rnacentral:rRNA from 1 species
GACGAACGCUGGCGGCGCGCCUAACACAUGCAAGUCGAACGGAGCUGAGAGAAGCUUGCUUUUCUUAGCUUAGUGGCGAACGGGUGAGUAACGCGUGAGUAACCUGCCCUGGAGUGGGGGACAACAGUUGGAAACGACUGCUAAUACCGCAUAAGCCCACGAUCCGGCAUCGGCUUGAGGGAAAAGGAUUUAUUCGCUUCAGGAUGGACUCGCGUCCAAUUAGCUAGUUGGUGAGGUAACGGCCCACCAAGGCGACGAUUGGUAGCCGGACUGAGAGGUUGAGCGGCCACAUUGGGACUGAGACACGGCCCAGACUCCUACGGGAGGCAGCAGUGGGGGAUAUUGCACAAUGGGGGAAACCCUGAUGCAGCGACGCCGCGUGGAGGAAGAAGGUUUUCGGAUUGUAAACUCCUGUCGUUAGGGACGAUAAUGACGGUACCUAACAAGAAAGCACCGGCUAACUACGUG